rnacentral:snoRNA from 1 species
UAAUUAGAUAUGAUGAUAUACAAACCUAAUGCAUAGUUCAACUGAAUUACUAGAUAUAUGUUAGAAAACUAUUUUACAUCAAAAUUAGUCUUUUGCUCCUAUCUGAUCCAAUUA